UCUUCUUCUUUUUUAACUUUGAUAUCAAUGCUCCAAGAUUUAUAUUUCCUUUAUGUUGUGACUUUGAUGAAUCAAAUGUUCAGACAAAGAUUGUUUAGUUUUUUUAUUCUUUUUUCUUCAUAUUUUUUUUUCUUUGAUAUCAAUGUUCCAAGAGUAAUAUUUCCUUCAUGCUGCGAUUUUGAUGAAUCAAAUGUUCACAUAAAAAGUAGUUUCUUCGUCUCUCCUAUAAAAAAAAUUAUUCAUCUCUCCUUUAUUUUUUUUCAUGUGACUUAUUUUUUUUUUCCUUAUGCUUUUAUGACAUUGUUAUGCUUUUUUGUUUUCGUUAUUAUUCUAUUUAAAUUUAUGGAUGGUUUAUAAAUGAAUACUAUAGUUUUUAUUUUUACUUUUGUGGUUCCUAUGCAUACAGGGUAUUGAAUCAAGAAAUCACGAACAAGCACAAAAAAUAAGAAUAUGGAGAUAUUAUUUUAUAGAUGAAACCGAUUAUAUGAUGGUUGAGUUCAAGACAACAUAUUCUUCACACGAGGGCCUAGGGGAAAAAAAGAUGACAUUAUGACAAACUUUGAGAUUCCAAAGAAAUUAGUCGUUCUUAGAAAAUAAUCUAGAUAAAUUUUUUACUAUGAUG
rnacentral:lncRNA from 1 species